rnacentral:rRNA from 1 species
UACGUAGGGGGCAAGCGUUGUCCGGAAUUAUUGGGCGUAAAGAGCGCGUAGGCGGUCCGAUAAGUCGGCUGUGAAAGUCAUGGGCUCAACCCAUGAAAGCCGGCCGAUACUGUCGGACUAGAGUCCGGAAGAGGCAAGUGGAAUUCCCGGUGUAGCGGUGAAAUGCGCAGAUAUCGGGAGGAACACCAAUGGCGAAGGCAGCUUGCUGGGACGGUACUGACGCUGAGGCGCGAAAGUGUGGGGAGCGAACAGG